CCUACUUCUAUUGUUGUAUUUUGAAGGUUACGGACUACCUACUUUUAAACAAAUAAACUUAUUUUCUAAUAUUGAUUUAUUUUUUAAAGAGAGUAGAUUAUCCUUCUUUAUAGAAAUUUUUAUUUGAUACUAGAAGGUGUGGAUUAUUCUCCUCUAAUUUUGUCACGGACACAAAAUACAGACUUGAAAUCUAACAAGAAGUUCAAGAAGAAGUGGCAGAACUAGAUUAAACAGAUGAGUACAAGAACAACACCAGAAAGGUGAGCUAGAACUCCAAGAGAUG
rnacentral:lncRNA from 1 species